CACACACACACACACACACACACGUUUCCAUAGAGAGAGGUUCCACUUUGCAUUAGCAGCUCAUGCUUCAGCGCUCUGCGAGUGUUUAUAGCCCUGUGACUUUAACACUUCAUGACUGAGAGCUGCUGCUCAGCGACUUCACCCACAGCAACCAUGAGUUUGAUCAGCGUCUUCAUCUGCACACUGGCCCUCUGCGCUCGAGGAUCCAGAGGUCAGGUGACUGUGACUCAGAGUCCUGCAGUGAAACCUGUUUCUCCAGGAGAGACACUCACCAUCAGCUGUAAAACCAGCUCUGCUGUUCACCGCUGGAGUGAUGGAGAUGAAGGAAUAUUCUGGUAUCAGCAGAAAGCUGGAGAAGCUCCUAAACUCCUGAUAAAAUAUGUGAAGAAGUUAGAGUCAGGUAUUCCAGCUCGUUUCAGUGGCAGUGGAUCUGGAUCUGAUUUCACUCUGACCAUCAGUGGAGUCCAGACUGAAGAUGCUGGAGAUUAUUACUGUCAGAGUUAUCAUUCUAUUAGUGGUAGCGAUGUGAUCACACAGUGUUAGAGCGUCGUACAAAAACCUGUGUGAGUGUGACUGCUGCAGCUGGGACCUACUGCAGGUGCUGAGGGGGACGAUGUGAUACAGCACAAUCACACACACACACACACACACACACACACACACACAAUCACACACACAAUCACACACACACACACACACCACAAUCACACACACAAUCACACACACUCACACACACACACACACACACAAUCACACACACACACACACACACACACACACACACACACACACACACACACACAAUCACACACACACACACACACACACACACACACACACACACACACACAAUCACACACACACACACACACACACACACACACACAAUCACACACACACACACACACACACACACACACACACACACACACACACACUCGCACGUCCACUGCAGGAUAAAUUUGAUGAAGGUGAAUUUAGAGUAAGUUUAUAUUAUUGAGCUGGCUUUGCUGAAUCAUACAGCUGUGUAUCAUCAGCCUAGCAGUGGAAGCUAACAGCAUGUUAAUGGAUCAUUUUACCCAGAGGUAGCAUGUACAGGGAAAAGCAGUGGGUGUAGAACAGAGCUGUCUCGUACUGUGAUGAGGCCUAAAUACUGACUGAGACAUUUCAUGUAUGUGGUUCCUAGUUUAUCUGCUGAACUACAAAGAGUUUAGUUGUGAAUGGAGCUACAUUAUCUAGCACGCAGUGGAACGUUAACUCUAAACAUUCAGUCACUUGAUGGAGUUUUCUUUUAUCAGAUGAACUCAAUGAAGAUUUUCUAGAAAAAUAAUCCAUCUCUGUGAGAUCAUAUAAUGCAGGUGGAUUUUGUCCACAAACUGAACACAGUGACAAUCCAUACGACUCCAGCUGAUGAAUCAUUGUCUUCUGAAUCAAAGCAAUAAUUCUGUGUAAGAAAAAAUACUAAUAUUUGACACUUUUUUAACUAUAAUCCAUCACUUCUGGCCAACUGUCCUACGCAGGGUUCAUGGGAGCAUCGCCCUACAUCAGCAUGUUGUGAAGCUCGUCCAAGAAGUGACGCUCCUCUGUGCUUCCAUCUCACUUCUCAUGUGAGCUUCACAAUGUUCUUACUGUCGUGACUGCUGUGUGCGCUUUUUUAAGCUUCAACUAUUCAGACAAUAUACAAUUGCAUCGUAUCCACCUGAGACCCCGCCCAUUGACUUGUGUCCUCUGUAGAGGACAUUUUGUUUUCAUGUAGGACCUUUUGACUUUUUUGAGCUACUCUAGUAACUCCUGCUGUACUAUACAGAGGACAUUCUGGGCUUUCUAGUGAUGUGUCAUGUUACAGUCUGUGACGCGAGGAUCAACUUCUUACACUACA